GUUCAAUCAAAUUGCUAAAAAUAAUAAUAAAAUAAUGCAGGCCAUGAUAGAAAGGUGUCAGAUCACAAAGUGCACCACAGUUUGCUGUGUAUGGGGCUGUGUAACCACAAACCGGUUAGAUUGAACACGAUGACCCAGUUAUCUAGUCAUCACUAUUUCUCCCUUGUCAGAGUCAUUCAGAUCUCUUCUCUUUCCCAUUUUCCUGCUUUCAACACAUGAAAUUCAGGAACUGUUAACUUGCUG